rnacentral:rRNA from 1 species
GGAGGGUGCAAGCGUUGUUCGGAAUUACUGGGCGUAAAGGGCGUGUAGGCGGAUCGAGUAGUCGGGUGUGAAAGCCCUGGGCUCAACCCAGGAAGUGCGCCCGAAACCAUCGGUCUUGAGUUUCGGAAGGGAGCGGGGAAUUCCCAGUGUAGAGGUGAAAUUCGUAGAUAUUGGGAGGAACACCGGUGCCGAAGGGGCCGCUCUGGACGAAUACUGACGCUAAGGCGCGAAAGCGUGGGGAGCAAACAGGAUUAGAUACCCUGGUAGUCCACGCUGUAAACGAUGUGCACUAGGUGUCGGGGGUAUUGACCCCCCUCGGUGCCCGCCGCUAACGCAUUAAGUGCACCGCCUGGGGAGUACGGCCGCAAGGUUG